GGAUUAGCUAGUUGGUGAGGUAAUGGCUCACCAAGGCGACGAUCCCUAGCUGGUCUGAGAGGAUGAUCAGCCACACUGGAACUGAGACACGGUCCAGACUCCUACGGGAGGCAGCAGUGGGGAAUAUUGCACAAUGGGCGAAAGCCUGAUGCAGCCAUGCCGCGUGUAUGAAGAAGGCCUUCGGGUUGUAAAGUACUUUCAGUUGUGAGGAAGGGGGUAUCGUUAAUAGCGGCAUCUCUUGACGUUAGCAACAGAAGAAGCACCGGCUAACUCCGUGCCAGCAGCCGCGGUAAUACGGAGGGUGCGAGCGUUAAUCGGAAUUACUGGGCGUAAAGCGCAUGCAGGUGGUUCAUUAAGUCAGAUGUGAAAGCCCGGGGCUCAACCUCGGAACUGCAUUUGAAACUGGUGAACUAGAGUACUGUAGAGGGGGGUAGAA
rnacentral:rRNA from 1 species